rnacentral:rRNA from 1 species
GACGAACGCUGGCGGCAUGCCUAAUACAUGCAAGUCGAACGCUUUUGUUUCACCGGGUGCCUGCACCCACAGAGACAAAAGAGUGGCGGACGGGUGAGUAACACGUGGGUAACCUGCCCAUAAGAGGGGGAUAACAUCCGGAAACGGAUGCUAAUACCGCAUAUUUCCAAUUGUCUCCUGACAGAUGGAAAAAAGGUGGCUUCGGCUACCGCUUAUGGAUGGACCCGCGGCGUAUUAGCUAGUUGGUGAGGUAAUGGCUCACCAAGGCGAUGAUACGUAGCCGACCUGAGAGGGUGAUCGGCCACACUGGGACCGAGACACGGCCCAGACUCCUACGGGAGGCAGCAGUAGGGAAUCUUCCGCAAUGGACGAAAGUCUGACGGAGCAAUGCCGCGUGAGUGAAGAAGGUUUUCGGAUCGUAAAACUCUGUUGUUAGAGAAGAACAAGGAUGAGAGUAACUGCUCAUCCCCUGACGGUAUCUAACCAGAAAGCCACGGCUAACUACGUGCCAGCCGCCGCAGUAACAC